rnacentral:rRNA from 1 species
GACGAACGCUGGCGGCGUGCCUAAUACAUGCAAGUCGAACGCAGUUGCGAACGGGUGAGUAACGCGUAGGUAACUGCCUCAUAGCGGGGGAUAACUAUUGGAAACGCUAGCUAAUACCGCCUACUGUGAGAUGGACCUGCGUUGUGUUAGCUAGUUGGUGAGGUAAAGGCUCCCCAAGGCGACGAUACAUAGCCCAGCUGGGAGGGUGAUCGGCCACACUGGGACUGAGACACGUCCCAGACUCCUCAGGGUGGCAGCAGUAGGGGAUCUUCGGCAAUGGACGGAAGGCUGGCCGAGCAACGCCGCGUGAGUGAAGAAGGUGUUCGGAUCGUAAAGCUCGGUUGCUAGAGAAGCGGUAACUAAACAGAAAGGGACGGCUAACUACGUGCCAGCAGCCGCGGUAAUAC